UCCGGUUGAUCCUGCCGGAGAUCACUGCUAUCAGGUUCCGACUAAGCCAUGCGAGGCGUGAGCUAUCUGGGCUCGCCGAACUGCUGAGUAACACGUAGUUAACCUGACCUCAAGUAGGGGAUAAUCUCGGGAAACUGAGGCUAAUACCCUAUAGUUGUGAAAUGCUGGAAUGCGUUCACAGCGAAAUCUACGGAGCUUGAGGAUGGGACUGCGACGUAUCAGGUUGAUGCGAGUGUAAAGUACUCACAUGCCUAUAACGCGUAGGGGUUAUGAGAGUAAAAGCCUCCAGAUGCCUUCUGAGACAUGAAGGCAGGUCCUACGGGACGCAGCAGGCGCGAAACCUUUCCAAUUCGUUAGCGCGUGAGAAGGGGAGCUUGAGUGGUUAUGCAAUGCAUAACCUUUUCUCUUGUCUAAAAAACAAGGGGAAUAAGUGGUGGGCAAGACGGGUGCCAGCCGCCGCGGUAAUACCCGCGCCACGAGUGGUGAUCUCGUUUAUUGGGUCUAAAGAGAGCGUAGCCGGUCUGACAAGUCUCUGGUGAAAUCUGGCAGCUAACUGUCAGGCGUGCUGGAGAUACUAUCAGGCUUGGGAGCGGGAAAGGAUGGAGGUAUUCCACGGGUAGGAGUUAAAUCCUUUAAUCCGUGGAGGACCACCAGUGGCGAAGGCGUCCAUCCGGAACGCGUCCGACGGUGAGGCUCGAAAGCGUGGGGAGCAAAUGGGAUUAGAUACCCCAGUAGUCCACGCUGUAAACGAUGUCCCUUUGGUGUUGCAUUCUCUACGGGAGACUGCAGUGCCGGAGCGUAGGUGUUAAAGGGACCACCUGGGGAGUACGGUCGCAAGACUGAAACUUAAGGGAAUUGGCGGGGGAGCACACAAGGGGUGGAGGCUGCGGUUCAAUUGGAUUCAACGCCGGACACCUUACUCGCGCAGACAGCAGAAUGAAGGUCAGCCUGACGGGUUUACCAGACAAGCUGAGAGGUAUUGCAUGGCCAUCGUCAGCUCGUACCAUGAGGCGUGCCGUUAAGUCGGUUAACGAGCGAGACCCACACCACCAGUUGCAAUCACAAUCCCAGGAGAAAUCCAAAAGAUUGUGAGCACUCUGGUAGGACCGCUGCUGCUAAAGCAGAGGAAGGAGUGGGCGACGGUAGGUCCGUAUGGUCCGAUUGCGCGAGGCUACACGCGGCCUACAAUGGUUAGGACAAUGUGAUGCCACUCCGAAAGGAGGAGCUAAUCACCUAAACCUAGCCCUAGUUCAGAUUGAGGGCUGCAACUCGCCCUCAUGAAGCUGGAAUCCCUAGUAAGCGAACGUCAUAAUCGUUCGCUGAAUACGUCCCUGCUCUUUGCACACACCGCCUGUCAAGCCAUGCGAGUAGAUUUUUGGUGAGGCUUUUCCUCUUAGGAAAGUCGAGCCAAAGAUUUGCGAGUGGGGCUAAGUCAUAACAGGAUGUGCAGC
rnacentral:rRNA from 1 species